CAUAGGCAGUGGCUUGGUUAAGGGAACCCACCGGAGCCGUAGCAAAAACGAGUCUUAAUAGGGCAAUUGUCACUGCUUAUGAACCCGAACUUGAUUGAUCUAUCCAUAACUAGGAAGAGGUUUGGGUGAAACUAAGUGGAGGUCUGAACCAACUGAUG
rnacentral:sRNA from 1 species